rnacentral:lncRNA from 1 species
UUUAUACUAAAGCUGUAUUGAGUGUAAUGAAUUAUGUUGCCUAUGUGUUUUAAUAGCUUAAAAUUAUAUAUGAGCUUCUUUUUAUUUUUAUUUUUAUUUUUAUUUUUUGACAAAACAAACUAGUGACGCACCUUUUUACACUGGAUCUCUGCCGUGUCAAGGUGUAUAGCUGUCCUUUGCUACCUUGCAGAUAUAUAAAGAAAAGGAUAACCUGGGGCCUCAAAAUGUAGAACACCCUUAGACCGUUUAUUAUUGUUCAUAGAGCUGUUGAGGAUCAUGUUCUUUAGCACAUGAUCUGUGGUUUACACUUAAGAUGGCUAGACACGUAGUUACAGGGUAAAUAGAAGCAAAUAGAUCAAGUAAAACCCCACUACUGUGGCUGGAAUUUGUAAACUUACGUUUCUUAAGACCUCUUUUGUUUCCUAUGGAUUUAUUCUUUAAUUUACAGUUUAUUCUGUAAGUUGAGAGGUAAAAUAGAGAAAUUAAUAAAUCUAGAUGUUCUUAGUGUCUCAUUCAGGAAUGUUUUACCCCCCUCCUCACUAAGGAAUUCCCACUGUGACUUAAAAAUAGAGGUAAAUUACUCGUGUGCAUGUAUGUGUCUGUGUUUUUACACACAUGCAAAAAUAUACAUCGGGGGCAGAUGUGUGAGAGAUGAAUGUGUGCUUGUAUAAAAAUAGAAAGGUAACCGAAUGUAUUAUAGAGAUAUGAUUUAUUUAGCUGAGGGUACUAGAGUUAUUUUCCCAUUGUUUCUAUUUUAUAAACAUGCCAUAUUCUUUGCUAUAUUAUGUUCAAAGGCUAGCUCUGAUAUCACGUGCAUUUCCUAUUAACUUUUGGAUUAACUUAUGAUGUUUUUAAAGUGACAUAAGAAAAAAGCAGAUUCUAAGACCAGCCUCGUAGUCAUAAGCAUAAAAGUGUGUGUGUGUGUGUGUGAGAGAGAGAGAGAGAGAGAGAGAGAGAGAGAGAAACAGACCUAGAUAGAUAACAGCUCAUUUAUCUUUUGAAGUGAUGGGACCAGAGAUUUGUUGAAACAUUAUGUCUAGUAAAUUUUCUUCAUAUUCCAAGUAAUAAAGUAAUAUGUUUUCUUGGUCAAGUUCAGAAAACAUAGGCCUUGGUGAGGAAGCUUUGCAGGGGCUGCUUUUAAGGAGUUGGUGGGCUCCAUGUAUAUUUCAAAGCUGGUAUGAUUUCAGUUGUUUGCAAAAUAUGUUUUCAAACUGAAUUGUGCCAUUGGUAGUGGAGUGGAGCAGCCCAGCUCCGCCCUCUGGCUGUGGGAAAAUCCCGCUACCUUCAGUGCUUACCUGAGUCAUGUGGAAAAGAAAGACACAUUCCUGUCCUGGGAGCUUUGUCAGUCGCUGUGCACUCUUUCCUGGAGCACCUGGUGAUCGGAGACAGGCAACGAGAGCCAAGUGCUCCGUCACACUUACUCUACUAUGAGAGCUCUAUACUUAGAUACGCCAGAACAACUCCCAGGAACACACUUGAAUUGGCAGUCGUCUCUGGGGCCUCAGUUACUUCAUCUUAGGUUCAGACAAAACCCAGGAAAGCUCUCCAUGUUGUUUUUUACACUUGUGUUUUUGUAGCAUCUCCCUGUUUCAUUUACUCUUGCUUUCAGAUUUUAACAAAUCUACAUAUUUCUUGUACAUAUGCAUGCAAACGAAAGAAGGGAGUUUGUACUGAUGCCAUUUCUCCCUUCAGUUGCUGGUUAAUGGAAUUUGCUAGACUCAAUUCCCCCUUAUUGAAGGGUGAGAACAGACCCUUGUUUAUAUCUGUACAGAGAUGUGUAUAUGGGAUGUGGUGGCACUUUGCUGAAUGUGAACUUGCCUUGUCAAUGGAAAGAUUGAAAAAGUAUUAUGUUUAUUUAUACAUUUGUAUAAAUCUAUAUAUACACGUAUGUAUAUGUGUGUGUAUAGAUAAAGCUAUAUACAUAUAUUCCCUAAAAAAUGUGUGUGUAUAAUAGAUUAACAGCCUUUGCUAAGCAAGAUUAUGCAUCUGUGGGAAAUUCUGGGUUAUUCGGCAAGCCAGUGGAAACGACGACAGUGUAGAGAACAUUAAGCACGCUGAAAUGGGACUCCUUUGGAUUACAGUCACAAUGACAGAUUACAUUGGUCACAAAUG